GUAGAUAUAGUUUAACAUAAAACAUUAGAUUGUGAUUCUAAAAAUGGAGGUUAAAUUCCCCCUAUCUACC
rnacentral:tRNA from 2 species